UUUAUAUUCAUAUUCUCGGUAUAUGAUUUGUAUCCGUAUCCAUCUAAAAUAAAUAUGGAUAUACAUUUUUUUGCAUCCAACUUACAUUCGUAUCUAUAUUUAUAUUUAUCAAAUAAAAUAAAUAUAAAUAUAAAUAUUGAUGAGAGGCAAAAUGAAUCGUCCUACUCUAGCGUGGAGCCACCCAAUUCCGGCCAAGCAGACCUCAAAGCCGAAUAGGCCAGACCUCN
rnacentral:lncRNA from 1 species